GACGAACGCUGGCGGCGUGCCUAAUACAUGCAAGUAGAACGCACAGUUUAUACCGUAGCUUGCUACACCAUAGACUGUGAGUUGCGAACGGGUGAGUAACGCGUAGGUAACCUGCCUGGUAGCGGGGGAUAACUAUUGGAAACGAUAGCUAAUACCGCAUAAUAUUGAUUAUUGCAUGAUAAUUAAUUGAAAGGUGCAAUUGCACCACUACCAGAUGGACCUGCGUUGUAUUAGCUAGUAGGUGAGGUAACGGCUCACCUAGGCGACGAUACAUAGCCGACCUGAGAGGGUGAUCGGCCACACUGGGACUGAGACACGGCCCAGACUCCUACGGGAGGCAGCAGUAGGGAAUCUUCGGCAAUGGACGAAAGUCUGACCGAGCAACGCCGCGUGAGUGAAGAAGGUUUUCGGAUCGUAAAGCUCUGUUGUAAGAGAAGAACGGGUGCGAGAGUGGAAAGUUCACACUGUGACGGUAUCUGACCAGAAAGGGACGGCUAACUACGUG
rnacentral:rRNA from 1 species